rnacentral:lncRNA from 1 species
AAAAAUCUCCUGUGAUGGAGAAACCAUGACACUGUUGAACCUCGAGCCAUCAAGAGCUUCCAGGAGGGUUUUGGUGAGGCCGUAUAGCUUUGAAAAGUGCCAGACAAUUGUCUUCAGGAUUUUCAUCUAAGCCUCUGACACCCAUCCUCUGAGCUUUGAUGUUCACACAAAGGCCACGGCAACCAUGUCACACAGCUGCGAUGGGAGUAUGGGACCCGGAGAUUUCAGAGUGGUUGGAGCAGAAGAAAGCAUUCCUCUUAGAAUCGG